rnacentral:rRNA from 1 species
CCUACGGGUGGCAGCAGUGAGGAAUAUUGGUCAAUGGACGAGAGUCUGAACCAGCCAAGUAGCGUGAAGGAUGACUGCCCGAUGGGUUGUAAACUUCUUUUAUAAAGGAAUAAAACGAGGCACGUGUGCCCUUUUGCAUGUACUUUAUGAAUAAGGAUCGGCUAACUCCGUGCCAGCAGCCGCGGUAAUACGGAGGAACCGAGCGUUAUCCGGAUUUAUUGGGUUUAAAGGGAGCGUAGAUGGGUUUUUAAGUCAGUUGUGAAAGUUUGCGGCUCAACCGUAAAAUUGCUAUUGAUACUGGCAGUCUUGAGUACAGUUGAGGUAGGCGGAAUUCGUGGUGUAGCGGUGAAAUGCUUAGCUAUCACGCAGAACCCCGAUUGCGAAGGCAGCUUACUAAACUGUGACUGACAUUGAUGCUCGAAAGUGUGGGUAUCAAACAGGAUUAGAUACCCCAGUAGUC